GAUGAAGAACGCAGCGAAAUGCGAUGAGUAAUGUGAAUUGCAGAAUUCAGUGAAUCAUCGAAUCUUUGAACGCACAUUGCGCCCGGCAGUACUCUGCCGGGCAUGCCUGUUCGAGCGUCAUUUCAACCCUCAAGCCCUGCUUGGUGUUGGGGUCCCACGGCCGCCGUGGGCCCUGAAAGGAAGUGGCGGGCUCGCUACAACUCCGAGCGUAGUAAUUCAUUAUCUCGCUUAGGGCGUUGGGCGGCGCUCCUGCCGUUAAAGAACCAUCUUUAACUCAAGGUUGACCUCGGAUCAGGUAGGAAUACCCGCUGAACUUAAGCAUAUCAAUAAGCGGAGGA
rnacentral:misc_RNA from 1 species